AGUGCGGCCGUCAUGGCGUCGCCCUUCAGCGGGGCGCUGCAGCUGACGGACCUGGAUGACUUCAUCGGGCCGUCUCAGGAGUGCAUCAAGCCUGUCAAAGUGGAAAAAAGGGCGGGAAGUGGCGUGGCCAAGAUUCGCAUUGAAGAUGACGGGAGCUACUUCCAAAUUAACCAAGACGGCGGGACCCGGAGGCUGGAGAAGGCCAAGGUCUCGCUAAACGACUGCCUGGCGUGCAGCGGCUGCAUCACCUCCGCAGAGACCGUGCUUAUCACCCAGCAGAGCCACGAGGAGCUGAAGAAGGUUCUAGAUGCUAACAAGGUAAGCGGUGGUCGGCCUGGGGACUCUGCUUUAACCUGAAAUCCAUCCCAGCAGCCGACAACGCGUUUUGCCAAGGGCAGCUCGUGUGGUGCCGCCGUCCUUCAUGCGGGUGGCGCCUGCCUUUUUGAGGCUUGGAAUCUUGGUGAUUUGUCAGUGGGCUCCAGUGGUCAAUGUGUCAGGCCCCGAACUUCA
rnacentral:sRNA from 1 species